GUAGACAUCACCCAUAGUGAACAUUUUUCUUCUUGUUCCUAAAAUUGGAAUGAAAUGAGGAAUAACACAGAGAAGUAAGAAACAGAAGGAAAGAAGUAAGCUGAAGGAAACGUGGGAGGGAGAAGAUUUAAAAAGAAACUAAAAGAAAAAAGAAAAAAAAGAAGCAUAUCCAACUAGAUGACAGUUCAUCACAAACGACAACGGGCGGGCUGCUGAUGUAGGAAAGUUCCGAGGGAGGAAACGGUGCUAUAACCACAGGCAUUCACAGCCUACAUGUGUGAAUGAGAAGCGAUGUUGGCCAGCUUUCUAAAGUUGAGUCUAGAAGGCAAGAGGAAGAUAGCUGAACAGAGAGAAAUAACAGCUGCCCAAGUAUGGGACUCACCGGAAAGCUUCUUCAUAAAGUGACGAAUUGGAAGAAGACCCUGGGCACCAGAUAGGAGCUGAGACUUCCAGGAAUAAAUCCUAUUACAGCCUGGGGAAAAACAGAGUCAUGGAGAGAGGAGACCAAUGAGGAGAGUAAAGGACAAUUAUUAGUCUUAACUUCCAAUGAAGCAAGUAGGUCAGUUGCCAGCUGCCGUGUGAGUCUGCUCACCCAGAAGCCUGCUCAAUGUGGCAGUACAAGAAAAGAGAAGAGGCCAUGUCUGAGACACACAUUGUGAAACCUGCACUGGUGAUGGGACCCUCUAAUUUGGUCAGACGGUAUGGCAACAUAAGUCAGUCCAGCUUUUGGCUGACACAAACAAGGAGUUACGCUCAAGUGCGCUGGAGCGUUCCCAUGAGCUGCCUGUUUUUGGUUUUAAUAAGGCUCCAUCUCUCGAGGUGUAUUAACGGUAAAUCAUUUUUGCUAAUUUAAAAACUAGGAAACAAAUGGAAACCUUGAGGUUUUUCCCCACAACAUGGCUACUUCUAAUAUCAAGAUUGCCAGAGAGGUUUAGGGGAUGGGACCAUGGCUGUGAGAAGGAAUCGAAAAAGUGUUUUGAGGUGGGGAAGUAUUUUAAUAAGUGGAUUAAUCUCUGUGGUUGCACAGCCGAAGAAACCGGGCCAGUGACUUCAAGGUAGAAGUCCUCAGAAACUUCCUAGUCAAGUCUCUCUUUAAAACAGAAGAAGAAAGCGAGGCUAUGAGAUAACAUGGGCACCUGCCUAAAAAGUAUGCCUACUGCAUACUACAUGGGAGGUUGCUGACUGUUCCCAAGGGGUACUUGAAUUGUCUGCAUGUAUUUCAUGUUUGUUUGUUUUGCUGGUAGGAGUACUAAAAAGUUAUAGAGGCUCUUGGCGGAGGGGGGGGGUGUCUUCUCCUCUUGUAAUGUUGGCCAUAAUAUUCUGUUCUCUAACCAAAAUUGCUUUAUAUGACUUCCCUUCCUUUCCAUCAACUUUACACAGCUUAUUUACAGGGCCAAUCGCAGCCCAACAUAAUUUUAUCUAAUGUCUCCCUUCAAACUAGAGAAGCUAAUAGUACUAAUCUCAUUGGAUCUACACAAGGAACACUUUAGUUCAUGUCUCAAAGUAUUCAGAAUAGAGCCUGCUGUACAAGGUUUGUGUAAACUUUGAGCUGUUUUAGAGACGUUGGUAUAAAGGGAGAAAAAAGCUGUUUUCUAAAAUUUUUAUCAUGCCCAAGACUGCCUGUUCUUAUAUCUGCUGGCAAAGGUCUGCUUUGAGGUCCUGACAUUAAUUAUAUUCUCAAGAAUUUCAUAGUAAGCCCCCAAAAUGGAUAUAGGAUGCUGUGAGCAAGGGUCAAAGAAAAGAAAAGAAAAGAAAAGAAAAGAAAAGAAAAGAAAAGAAAAGAAAAGAAAAGUCAUAGAGUCAUGUGUUAAGCAAUUGGUUAACAAUGGUAGCUUAGGCUUAUUAAGCAAGCAGCAUCUCUUACUGGGAGGGAGGGAGGGAGGGAGGGAGAGGGAGAGGGAGAGGGAGAGGGAGGAGAGGGAGAGGGAGAGAGAGAGAGAGAGAGAGAGAGAGAGAGAGAGAGAGAGAGAGAGAGAGAGAAAACUGCAUUUGCAUACUGUUCCAGGCAUCUAGGUAUGCUAUGAUGAACACAGAUAAGAGAUUAUAUAUAUUUUUUCAAUGCUCAAAUCCCCAUCAUCUGACCUUUCACCUGAAUAACGGUUUUGGACCUGGGACAAAUUAUUAGGCCCUCUCCUUGGAUACCCAGCUUCUCUCUUAGCACAAAACAAGUUCCCUUUCUUGGGACAACCUGUGUCCAAAACCUUUACUCCUGCCAUUGGUAGUCUCAUUACUGCUUAAGAUCACUACGAUUUUAAACCCUUUCAUUCUUGGAAUUCGAGUCUAAGUAUGGGCUAACCACGUAAUCUUCGAUGGGCUGUUUUAUCUCUGAUCUUUGUUUCCUUCAAUUUUGAGCAUUUCAUAAGGAUUAGUCAAUAGAGUGCUACUAGUAUUAUAGCAAUACUUGGAGCUGUUGAAGGGUUGGGAAAAUAUCAUAUCAUAGUCAUAAUAAUAUUGGUAGUAUUUUUGAGGUCGUAGUAUCUUAUCAUUAAACCUGUAUAACUUUACUAUGAAGUGGGCUCUAUUUUUAACUUUGUGUCAAAACAAAACAAAAUAAAAUCACAAAAAAUCAAGGCUUAUAGAGACUCUUUUAUCAUUCAACUAACCUUUAUAGAAUGCUUUGUCUAUAACCAGUUUUCUAGAAGCUCAGGAUUCACCAGUACAAAACUUUCAUUCUAGUAGAGAACAUCAAAUCAAUGACUAAAACUACUACAGACUGUUCAGAGUUCUUCAAAGUAGACAACAGAGUCUUGUGGGAGUUUCUUAGAUGGUUAGCUAACUC
rnacentral:lncRNA from 1 species